rnacentral:rRNA from 1 species
GAAGGCGCAGCUACACAUGCAAGUCGAGCGAGAUCUUCGGAUCUAGCGGCGGACGGGUGAGUAACGCGUGGGAACGUACCCUCUUCUGCGGGAUAGCCACUGGAAACGGUGAGUAAUACCGCAUACGCCCUUCGGGGGAAAGAUUUAUCGGAGGAGGAUCGGCCCGCGUUGGAUUAGGUAGUUGGUGGGGUAAUGGCCUACCAAGCCUACGAUCCAUAGCUGGUUUUAGAGGAUGAUCAGCCACACUGGGACUGAGACACGGCCCAGACUCCUACGGGAGGCAGCAGUGGGGAAUCUUAGACAAUGGGCGCAAGCCUGAUCUAGCCAUGCCGCGUGAGUGACGAAGGCCUUAGGGUCGUAAAGCUCUUUCGCCUGUGAUGAUAAUGACAGUAGCAGGUAAAGAAACCCCGGCUAACUCCGUGCCAGCAGCCGCGGUAAUACGGAGGGGGUUAGCGUUGUUCGGAAUUACUGGGCGUAAAGCGCACGUAGGCGGAUUGGAAAGUAUGGGGUGAAAUCCCAGGGCUCAACCCUGGAACGGCCUCAUAAACUUCCAGUCUGGAGUUCGAGAGAGGUGAGUGGAAUUCCGAGUGUAGAGGUGAAAUUCGUAGAUAUUCGGAGGAACACCAGUGGCGAAGGCGGCUCACUGGCUCGAUACUGACGCUGAGGUGCGAAAGUGUGGGGAGCAAACAGGAUUAGAUACCCUGGUAGUC